GUCCAAGCAUGAGUGCAUGACUAUCGCUGCUCUUCGUAAAAAUAUUCUGUGAUAAAAGUUGUUUCUGAACCACGAUGCUGUUAAAAAGAAGAUGUGGCGAUGCCUGAGCCAACACCAUCAACAUCAACCAACCACUACGACAAGUUUUGCAGGGGUAUAGAAAAGUCUAUACCCCUGUUCCUGGUGUCAACCAGACAUCAGCAGGGAUCUCAGAUUCCUUAAUAAGUUGAAUUCCGUCUGAUGCAUCCUCCGAUCUCCCACUACGUCUAUUUUAGUGAGAAUUCAUCACGAGGACGUCCUUUCUCCCCACCUGACGUCUCUAAUUUAUCUUUCCUGCAAACGGAAACUGAAGGUGCUCGGCGGUUUCCCUGACUUGA